UACGGGGGGGGCAAGCGUUGUUCGGAAUUACUGGGCGUAAAGGGCUCGUAGGCGGCCAACUAAGUCGGAUGUGAAAUCCCCAGGCUUAACCUGGGAACUGCAUCCGAUACUGGAUGGCUUGAAUCCGGGAGAGGGAUGCAGAAUUCCAGGUGUAGCGGUGAAAUGCGUAGAUAUCUGGAGGAACACCGAUGGCGAAGGCAGCCCCCUGGGUUAACACUGACGCUCAUGCACGAAAGCGUGGGGAGCAAACAGG
rnacentral:rRNA from 1 species